AUGACAGCUCCUUGCCUUCCUAUUGUCGUGCUACUGGUCAUCUCGGUGGCAGCCAUAGUACCCGGUGCCAGUGCUGCUUCUCCGUCUCCAACAAGCGUCAACGGUAGCGACACCGAUUUUGCCGCGCUACUGGCUUUCAAAGCCCACAUCUCUGAUCCUCAGGGCAUCCUUGCAAGCAACUGGACCAGCAGCACAUCUUUCUGUCAUUGGAUCGGCGUCUCGUGCAGCCGGUGCAGGCAACGUGUCACGGCUGUGGAGCUGCCGUACGUGCCGCUCCGUGGAUCGCUCGCUCCUCACCUUGGUAACCUCUCCUUCCUCUCCAUCAUCAACCUUACCAACACCGUCCUGACGGGCGCCGUGUUAAAAUAUAUUGCCCACCUUCCUCCAUCAGUUCAGACUUUUGGAUGA
rnacentral:rRNA from 1 species